AAGUCGUAACAAGGUUUCCGUAGGUGAACCUGCGGAAGGAUCAUUAACACGUAUCGUACGUUUAAAAACCCCGUGCACGUUGAUAAAACUUCUUUCCAAGUAGCGGUUGAGACUUGCGUGCACAGCGCGAGUCUUAAUUGCGAAAGGCCGCGGCGAUGACGUUCGAACCGGUGGCUCUGCAAAGCCGAUGUUUGGGUUGAGGGGAAAAGGGCCCUUGACUGGACGAGCUUUGGCUGGCGAGCCCCUGGGGAGGUGAACCAGGUCGCGUAAUUGAAGAAUUUAAACCGAACUAACUUGACAAAACUUGUCCCGUAAAACGGACUCGAAACCCGAACAACUGUUAACAAUGGAUCUCUUGGUUCUG
rnacentral:misc_RNA from 1 species